GCCAAGGAGAGGGUGAGAGCAGGAGAGUGUGAUUAGAAGGGGGGGAGGGGAAAUGGAGAAUAGGAAGAAAAUGUGCUUUCUUGAGUCAAGGCAUUCUAAGCUCGUGGCGUGUCAUGCCAGGUGAUGAAGCAAUUUACAAUGGUGAAGAUUAUCUCAAAGGCAAAUAAGAUGAAGUGUUGAAGCUAUAGUUCAUUUAAAGACUUAGACUAGUUUUUUUUUUUUCCCUUUUCUUUUGGUUUGGCAAUGUUUUGGUAAUCUUGUAGUGGAACAUAAACGAAUUAUUUGUGAUAUUAACUCUGGUUAUAUAUGUAUAUUAAAAUAUUUUGGUUA